CAUCUCUUUUUGACACAUAAAAAGUACCGUCUGCUCAAUGCAAUUUGUAAAUAGCCGCAGUAUUCUGACUGUGCUAAGGUAGCAUAAUCAUUAGUCUUUUAAUUGAAGGCUGGUAUGAAUGACGAGACGAGAAAAUAGCUGUCUCUAAAAUAAAUCUUGAAUUUUAUUUCUAAGUGAAAAAGCUUAGAUAAUUUUAAAGGACGAUCAGACCCUUUGGAGCUUUAUUUAUUUUAAAUUUUAAUUUAUUUUAGAUUAUUGAAUGAAUAAUAAAUUUUGUUGGGGCGACAGAGAGUAAUAAAUACCACUCUUUUUUUUAAACAAUUAUAAUUGAAAAAUUGAUCCUUAAAGUAAGAUUAAAAGACUAAGUUACCCUAGGGAUAACAGCGUAAUCUUCUUGGAGAGUUCAAAUCGAUAAGAAGGUUUGCGACCUCGAUGUUGGAUUAAGAGAUUGACAAGGUGCAGAAGUUUUGUUGGAAAGUCUGUUCGACUUUUAAUUUCUUACAUGAUCUGA
rnacentral:rRNA from 1 species